GACGAACGCUGGCGGCGUGCUUAACACAUGCAAGUCGAACGGACAGGCCCUGCUUUUGUGGGGUGCUUGUUUGGCGAACGGGUGAGUAACACGUGUGUAACCUGCCCCUGACAUUCGGGUAACUUUAGGAAAAUGGGGCUCAUACCGGAUAGGAGCUCUUGCUGCAUGGUGGGGGUUGGAAAGAUUCGGCGGUUGGGGAUGGACUCGCUGCUUAUCAGCUUGUUUGUGGGGUAGUGGCUUACCAAGGCUUUGACGGGUAGCCGGCCUGAGAGGGUGACCGGCCACAUUGGGACUGCGAGACGGCCCAGAAGCCUACGGGAGGCAGCAGUGGGGAGUAUUGCACAAUGGGCGGAAGCCUGAUGCAGCAACGCCGCGUGCGGGAUGACGGCCUUCGGGUUGUAAACCGCUUUCGCCUGUGACGAAGAGUGAGUGACGGUAAUGGGUAAAGAAGCCCCGGCUAACUACGUG
rnacentral:rRNA from 1 species